UUCAUAUAUCAGGAUCUCUACAUUUCAAACGUUUUUGUUUCUCCCCUUUACUUUUAUCCCUGCUAUUAUGUUACUGUUUCUUACUACAUUUCCCAUAAUUCCCCACUAUGUUCAUUUCACCCAGCCAGCUCUUUUUUUCAACCUCCCUAGAAUCUGACAGGCCACAGAAAUAUCUGAUUUCAAAGAGAUGCUCGCAUUCUAUACUGAUGCCAUGUAGGAGUGUAAAUGCCCAAUGUCACACUGCUGAGUGGAGAAAGCUGCUGGGAGCAGAGGCUUUCAAGAGGGACCAUAAUGCCGUGUUUUCUGGAAGCAUUUGAUUUGUGUCAUGAAUGCUGUCUCAGGCAUGACUCACUGAUAAAAUGA
rnacentral:lncRNA from 1 species